GCAUUGGUGGUUCAGUGGUAGAAUUCUC
rnacentral:piRNA from 12 species